GUGAAGUCGAGAGUUUGUGCGAUGAGGACCGCAGGCAUUUUGGGUACAUUUCCUGUUUUUUUUCUGCCAGGGUGAGACAUGUUGUACCUGCCACACCCGCCCAUCAAUUAUCUGAGGUAAUAUGAUGGAUGCCUUUCAACCUCUAUUCCUCUCAGUUUUAUCAUGCAAGCACACUUUUUCCUGAUCUCUAGGGUGCCUGUGCUCUGGAGUUUGUGCUGCGUCAGAGAACACUGCAAAUACGUUGAUUUCACCCGGGACACGGCAUCGCAGGAGUUUGGAAAAGUGACUCUCUUUCAUACGGUGCAGGUGUCUCCAAGCAUUCCCCAGUCACGAUUGGCUGAUCCCUGGCGCCAAGAUGAUGCUGACAACUGAACCUGGGGCUUUUUAGUACACAUGAAAACUACAACAACACACAGAUUUUCAGAUUCAUUUUAAAAACGCUUUUUAUUAAAUCAAAACAGUCUCAGAGUGUAUUUACAAAACUGUAGCUAAUCUUUCAUCAAAGAUUUAUUUAAAAAUACAAAGUUCUGUCAUGGACCUAUAUCCAAUCUGAUAGUAAUCACAUCAUCAAUUCAUGGCGCAGGUGAUUGGAUGCUGUCACCUCAGUAACCAAUGAGCUUUCUCCUCAGCAAUUACAUAAUCACAUAGUGUUUUUUGUUUUAGCAAUCUUCAGAUACCCCCUCCUUAACCUCAGUACCACCUUUCUAAUGUUUUGUUAUAGUGAUUACACGUAUGAUAUGUUUGCCGCAUCUGUGUGUUUAUACUCUCAGACAAUAUUUUUGUGAAUAUACUGGUGGUAGCAAGUCUUGGCAAGUCUAUAUAUAUAUAUAUAUAUAUACAUAUACAUACAUAGUUGAAGUCAGAAUUAUUAUCCCCCCUUUGAAUUUUUCUCUUUUAUUUCAAAUAUUUCUCAAAUGAUGUUUAACAGAGUAAGGAUAUUUUCACAGUAUGUCUGUUAAUAUUUUUUUCUUCUAGAGAAAGUCUUAUUUGUUUUAUUUCGGCUAGAAUAAAAGCAGUUUUAAUUUUUUUUUAAAAACCACUUUAAUAUCAAAAUUAUUAGCCCCUUUAAGCUAUAUUUUUAAAUUAUAUUUAGAUGUGUGCUGAAAAAAAUCUCACCGUUAAACAGAAAACAUGGGAGCUAAUAUUUCAGGGGGGUUAAUAAUUCUGAUUUCACAUUGUGUGUGUGUGUGUGUGUGUGCGUGCGUGCGUGUGUGUGUGCGUGUGUGAUUCCAUCAUUACGAUUGCAUUUUUCUUCUUUAUAUAACUACGCUUAUCAUGCCAACCACACAGUUCCAGUGCUUUAAACAAUGCUAAACUAUUAAAAAUGUAUAUUUGUACAAUGAAUGUUUCUGUGUACACAAAAGCUUGCAAAUUCAACCUCACAUUUAGUGUUCACAUGCCCCUGUUGCUUUAGAGACAACUGCAAUCACACUUCAUGGACUCCACAAGUUUUUGUAAGAACUAAUGUUUAUGUUUUCUAGCAUGAGAAUUAUAUAGAGUUCAAAAGAAGCAAGACGAUUUUUAUACUUAACACUUAAGUAUUUGCUACAUUGCUUAAUUCAUGAGCGAAAUAUAAACACAUCUACUGAUUUAGUAAGGGUUUUUUAAGGUUUUACAUUGAAAACUAGGUCCGUCAGAAAAAGUUUAAAUGAUUUUACUACUCGUGUGUACAGUAUAAUAAACUACAGUAUCACUUACCUAAACGUUUAAAAGAUUUUCCAACACACAAAAGAGUCAACAUGCUCUAGUUCAGGUCACAAUCAGUUUUCAUUCCAUUUAGGGCAAAGAUGCCCAAAAGAAGGGCCUGCGGGCCAAAGUUGGUCCAUGGUAACCUUUGUUUUGGUCCGCCAUCCCAUCUUUAAAGACAGGGAGAAUGAUUGGUUGGUUUGGGCAAAUGCCUUUAACAGAGUUUGUCAUUUUGAAUUUAAUGUAUUUAUUUUUUUGUUUUUUGUUUUUGUUUUAUUGAGGAGCUACAAAAAAGACCACUAAAAUUAAAUGUUUCAUUAAAAUGUUGUAAAUAAUUCAGACUUUUAAAAUGAAAUACUGUCACUAGACAGAUAGAAGACAAUGCACAAGACAUCAGCAAGCAAAUCAAAGCAAAGGAAGGUGCAGCUCGGAAAGUGUAUUCAGCAUUAAGCUCCAUUGUGUUAUACUGUAAAUGGUAUUGUUUAUGUUAUUACUAUAAUACGUUCAUUAUAAAAUGUUAAACAUUAUACUGCAUCAUCAUUUAAUAUGUUUUAAAGCAACUUUUCUAGUUAUUCUUAAAUAAUAAGCAAACAGAUGAGCAAAUUUAAUGUGAUAAAGUGUAUGUUUAACUUCAGUUCACAGCCCUUAAUCAAGCCUGUUUUUUGGCCUUUCAUAAGAAAAGUUUGGGCACCCCUGGUUUAGGGUAUAAAAUGCAAUUGACC
rnacentral:lncRNA from 1 species